GUAGGUGGCAAGCGUUGUCCGGGAAUUAUUGGGGCGUAAAGCGCGCGCAGGCGGUCCUUUAAGUCUGAUGUGAAAGCCCACGGGCUCAACCGUGGAGGGUCAUUGGAAACUGGGGGACUUGAGUACAGAAGAGGAAAGUGGAAUUCCACGUGUAGCGGUGAAAUGCGUAGAGAUGUGGAGGAACACCAGUGGCGAAGGCGACUUUCUGGUCUGUAACUGACGCUGAGGCGCGAAAGCGUGGGGAGCAAACAGGAUUAGAUACCCUGGUAGUCCACGCCGUAAACGAUGAGUGCUAAGUGUUAGAGGGUUUCCGCCCUUUAGUGCUGCAGCUAACGCAUUAAGCACUCCGCCUGGGGAGUACGGUCGCAAAGACUG
rnacentral:rRNA from 1 species